CCGCCAGGGGAGCCCUGCGCUCCCCCUCAGCCCGCGCGCAGCCGCCGUGGCGCGGCGGGAACGGAAGGGAGGGGAUGGACGCCGCGCCGACGGUGCCCCCCGCCCGGGAAAAGUCAUCUCGGCGCGGAGGCAGCCCGAGAGGGGGCUGCAGUCGCUGGGCUGCCGCUGUCGCUGUCUCCCAGACCGGCGAAUGUGGCGGCCGUGCGUGAGGGAGCGGCGGGCUGUAGGGCAGUGCGUGAGGGGCGCUCCCACCUCGCUGCGCGGGCGGGCCGGGCUGGGGACGGAGGUGUGCCACCAUCCCGCCCUACAGCAGAGCCCACACAGCGCUCUGAUUAGCGAGCAGUUAUGGCCACUUUUUUCCCUCAUUUUUUAGGGCAGCCCAGUGGGGGGCUUCAUUAUGAGUGUGUGUGUUGCCCGUCUGUCUCUCGCCCUAGCAGAGACACGGAGUGCUGGGUCUGACCGUGCAUGUCUCACUAAUGCAAACCUGAGACAAAACCUUCAUCACAUGUCCUCGGUGCAGGCUGCAAGCCUACAGAAGCGAGGUUAGGCGUGGGACAGGCAGCGUCACAAGUGCAGGCACACAUCCUUGAGUCACUGGUAUUUGCAUACAUGGACAGACACGAGGGAUGAGCACACUCCAAACUGAGUGGCUAACUGAAAUGGGAAGUGUGGGUGCAAUGCUAAGCAAUGGAAAUGGGCAGGACUGUUUAUGGCUACAUAAACAUUGAUGUGUUUGCUUACUUACAGCUAAUAAAUUAAUGUUACCACUGAGACCAGUGACCUGUUUGUGAAACACUCCAAGCCUGAAAAUCAAGGCAAGUGAAACCGUAUCUUUCUCCAUCUAAAGUGCUGUAAUUUAAACAUUACUUUACUCUCUGUCUUCUUAUCUGGUAUGUACAUUUUCUGCUCCAGUGCAACACCUCAUAACAAGACUCACAUGGUUCUACACAGCUAGAUUUUUCUGUAGGAUCUGCUACAUCCUCUUCAUUGUGUUUUCCCCUGGCUUUCGCAGCCUU
rnacentral:lncRNA from 1 species